UACGACUACAUAUCAGGCAUAUCAAUAAGCGGAGGAAAAGAAACUAACAAGGAUUCCCUUAGUAACGGCGAGUGAAGCGGGAAGAGCUCAAAUUUGAAAUCUUCAAGGUUCUACCUUGACGAAUUGUAGUUUAAAGAAGUGUUUUCUGUUAGAUGAGUAGCAAAAGUUCCUUGGAAUGGGACAUCAUAGAGGGUGAGAAUCCCGUAUUUGGUUAUUCAUUCUAGCUUUGUGAUACACUUUCAAAGAGUCGGAUUGUUUGGGAAUGCAGUCCAAAAUGGGUGGUAAAUUUCAUCUAAAGCUAAAUAUUGGCGAGAGACCGAUAGCGAACAAGUACCGUGAGGGAAAGGUGAAAAGAACUUUGAAAGAGAGUUAAACAGUACGUGAAAUUGUCAAAAGGGAAGCGUUUGACACCAGUGUUGUUUUUCCGAAAAUCAAUUACGAAUGGCUUGAUUUUGUGUUGUAUUGACCUUAUCAGCUUUCUUCACUUUUUUCGAGUCUUUCUUAAUGCACUUUUCGGUUAACAAGUCAACAUCAAUUUCUUUUGUUGUAAAAGAGUAUUCGGAAGGUGGCUUUCUUUUCGGAGAAAGUGUUUAUAGCCCUAUACUUCUACAAUCGGAGAGAUUGAGGUCUGCAGCGUAGAUCCUUCGGGGUUAGAUACACUUGUGCUAAGUUGUAACCUUUCAUAGACAACUUGUUGACUAUGUUUAGUCAUGCGGCUUACUCGCUUAUGCUAUUUUACCUACGCUUAGGAUGUUGAGUAGCGACAUACGCAC
rnacentral:rRNA from 1 species